AUACGUAGGGUGCAAGCGUUAAUCGGAAUUACUGGGCGUAAAGCGUGCGCAGGCGGUUUUGUAAGACGGAGGUGCAAUCCCCGGGCUCAACCUGGGAACUUCCUUUGUGACUGCAAGGCUAGAGUAACGCAGAGGGGGAUGGAAUUUCGCGGGUAGCAGUGAAAUGCGUAGAUAUGCGGAGGAAAACCGAUGGCGAAGGCAAUCCCCUAGGCCUGUACUGACGCUCAGUCACGAAAGCGUGGGGAGCAAACGGGAUGAGAUACCCUGGUAGUCCACGCCCUAAACGAUGUCAACUGGUUAUUGGGUCUUCAUGGACUCAGCAACGAAGCCAACGCGAAAAGUAAACAGCCUGGCGAGUACGGCCGCAAGGUUGAAACUGAAAUGAAUUGACGGGG
rnacentral:rRNA from 1 species